rnacentral:rRNA from 1 species
AAACGACUCUCGGCAACGGAUAUCUCGGCUCUCGCAUCGAUGAAGAACGUAGCGAAAUGCGAUACUUGGUGUGAAUUGCAGAAUCCCGUGAACCAUCGAGUCUUUGAACGCAAGUUGCGCCUGAAGCUAUCUGGCCGAGGGCAUGUCUGCUUGGGUGUCACGU